rnacentral:tRNA from 1 species
AGAGAAUUGGCCGAGGGGUUUAAGGCGGUAAGUUUGAGUUUUACUAGGUUAUUACUAACCACAUCCGUUCGAAUCGGAUAUUCUCUG